rnacentral:rRNA from 1 species
CUACGGGAGGCUCCAGUGAGAAAUAUUGCACAAUGGGGGAACCCUGAUGCAGCAACGCCGCGUGGAGGAUGACGCAUUUCGGUGUGUAAACUCCUUUUAUAUGUCAAGAAAAUGACGGUAGCAUAUGAAUAAGCACCGGCUAACUCCGUGCCAGCAGCCGCGGUAAUACGGGAGGGUGCAAGCGUUACUCGGAAUCACUGGGCGUAAAGGACGCGUAGGCGGGUUGGAAAGUCAGGUGUGAAAUCCUACAGCUUAACUGUAGAACUGCACUUGAAACUUCUAAUCUAGAGUAUGGGAGGGGGAGAUGGAAUUAGUGGUGUAGGGGUAAAAUCCGUAGAUAUCACUAGGAAUACCUAAAGCGAAGGCGAUCUCCUGGAACAUUACUGACGCUAAGGCGUGAAAGCGUGGGGAGCAAACAGGAUUAGAUACCCUCGUAGUC